UAAUGAAAGAUUAACAAUUUUCUUCCCCACGUCUCCUCCUCCUCUCUUUCUCCUUCUCUUCUCCUUCUUUUCUUCCUCUUCCUCCUUCUCUUCUCCCUCUUCUUCUGUUCCUGAUUUAAAAUUGCAACGUGAGUACAUCGUAUCCACUGAAGUCUGCCUUCCCAGACUUGGUUCUACACCAACUUGGUAUCAGAGCUUCGGCUUUGCCUCUGUCGCCAAAGCCCGGAGAUCCUAGAACGGAUCACCUCCGCCACCUCC
rnacentral:lncRNA from 1 species